UCGAGAAUCAUUCGCAAUGGGCGAAAGCCUGACGAUGCGACGCCGUGUGAGCGAUGAAGGCCUUAGGGUCGUAAAGCUCUUUCGCUUGGGAACAAGAGAAGCCGACUAAUAUUCGGCUAAUUUGAGGGUACCAGGUAAAGAAGCACCGGCUAACUCCGUGCCAGCAGCUGCGGUAAUACGGAGGGUGCAAGCAUUAAUCGGAUUUAUUGGGCGUAAAGGGCGCGUAGGCGGAGAUGAAAGUCAGAUGUGAAAUCCUGGGGCUCAACCUCAGAACAGCAUUUGAAACUUCAUCCCUAGAGGGUAGGCGGAGAAAACGGAAUUCCACAAGUAGCGGUGAAAUGCGUAGAUAUGUGGAAGAACACCGGUGGCGAAGGCGGUUUUCUAGCUUAUUCCUGACGCUGAGGCGCGAAAGCAAGGGGAUCAAACAGGAUUAGAUACCCGCGUAGUCC
rnacentral:rRNA from 1 species